rnacentral:rRNA from 1 species
GACGAACGCUGGCGGCGUGCUUAACACAUGCAAGUCGAACGGAAAGGCCCUGCUUUUGUGGGGUGCUCGAGUGGCGAACGGGUGAGUAACAGGUGAGUAACCUGCUCUUGUUUUUGGGAUAACAUCAGGUAACUGAGGCUAAUAUCGGAUAGGAGCUCCCGUUGCAUGGUGGGGGUUGGAAAUUUUCGGCGGUUGGGGAUGGACUCGCCGGUUAUCAGCUUGUUGGUGGGGGAGUGGCUUACCAAGGCUUUGACGGGUAGCCGGCCUGAGAGGGUGGCCGGGGACAAUGGUACUGAGGUACGGCCCAGAGUCGUACGGGAGGCAGCAGGGGGAAAUAUUGCACAGUGGUCGGAAGCCUGAUGCAGCAGCGCCGCGGGCGGGAUGACGGCUUGCGGGGUGUAAACAGCUUUCGCCUGUGACGAAGCGGUAGUGACGGUAAUCGGUAAAGAAGCACCGGCUAACUACGUG